GUUGGGUCAGAGUUCCAAGGAGCAGUUUUCCAACUGACUCAGUCUGGAGCUGAAAGUGAAGAAGGAAGGUGUGUAGCUGAGACUUCUUGAACACCUAUCAAGCAACUGGCCUAUCAACUGGCUGAGGGUGAGAGGAAAAUCUCCAGUCUUCCUGGUGGACAGAUUGACUGGGGAAAAGACCUUUGCCUUGCUGGGACCAUCUAAGGACACCACAACUUGAAUUCCUGAUACCUGACCAAUCAUUGAUUCUGUCUAUAAUGAUCCUGGAGAGUACAGCCCGCCUUAACCCAUCAUAACAUGGUGUGGCGAUUCAGUGUUGAAGGCUUACAAACAUCAGUUUCAAAGACAUAGAAAGCACAGCCAGGUUUCACUUUUAUUACCAACAUUCGGAUAUUCUUUUGAGUAAAGUCUCAGAAAAACACAACUACAUUUGUAAAUGUGUUAUCUCCCUCCUGAAUCACCUCACUCAAGUACCUCUUCAUCAAGUCACUGUGGCACAGAGACAACCACAGGUUCACAAAGAUAUCUAGCAGAACACAAGCUCUGGCAGGUCUGAGAAAGCUGAAAGGAUUCUAAAUAUGGGACAGAUUGCAUAUGCCAUCCCCUGACAGUUAGCUCAGGAAGGCCUAUGCCAAGUUUGCUCCAAGGAUAAUGAAGGCUUGGACAGUCUUCUCCAAAAGAGGUUUCACCAGCAUUUUACACAUUUGAUCUCAUCUGAACCUCAAAAUGACCCUGUAAGUUUCCCAGGCACAGGGCGCCAGCUACAAGGAUAGAACGAGCAAGAAGAGGGGAUUCUGUUCAUCUGAAUAUCACUCACUUGAAAACUCGUAAAUAAGGUUUCCAUUUUUCAGACCAUUUCUUCCAUCCCACUCAAUAUUCUUAAUGAAAAAGAAAACAUUACCUCUUUUUCACUUCAAGGAGCUCUGAGAUCCUGACUUGUUUGACACUAGCUAAAGUUUGGUGACUUGCUAAGUCCUCCAAACAGAUCUGCCAAAAGAUUCCCUCACCUGAAGGAAAUAUGGACUUUGCUUUAAAAGCCUCAAAUGUUCUACUGUAAGAAUUUCCAAAAGAAGACUGACCUUUACAAACUUCCUACCUUCCCCAGGGAAAUGUUGGGCAUGUAGUAGGCAAGAUGCAAAUAAUGGAGAAAUAAGCACCAUGGAUUUUUCUACCAGACAGCCCCCUCUCUCUGCUAGACAAGUCUCUUCUUUCGGUCUGUGGGAGCCAGGGUAACUCUUAAUUACUUCGGGGUUACAACUACCAUGCCAUGCCACUAAUGGUGAUGUUUGUUUAGGAAAGGGUUUCUUACUUGGGAAGGGUAUGCACCCUAAGGAACCCUCAAUUGGGCAAUGUUGGAGUUUGAUCAUCCAUCAAGUUCAACCUGUUUAUUUUCCUCAAAUAAGGAAAUUAAGGCCCAGAGGGGCCAAAGAACCUAAGACAAUACACAAGCAGUAAACAGCAGAGGUCUUUAACUUCUCAUCCAGUGCACAUUUCCUCCCAAAGUUCUCCACUUUUAUAGGAAGCUGUGGGCUCUUCUCUGUUUUUUUUCUUAGAUACCCUGGUAAUGACUUCUAUACAGAGAGGCUGCAUUUAAGUAAUAGGAGGGUAGGGGCCACUGUGUUUCUGUGUUUAAAAAGGAAGAAUGAGCUUUUCUUCUAAGUUUGUUUUAGUGUCUGGCCAGGUGCACACACUUAAUAAAUGUUUAUUGAAUUCCACUGAACUGCAUCAUCAGUGCUGUAGUAGGCUGAUAACACAAGGCCAUCUGGUCCAACCCAUACUGGUCAGAAAUCUCCUCAGCUCAUGCCUGACAAGCAUUCAGCCUCCAUUUGAAUAUUUCCAAUUACAGGGAACUCAUCACCUCAUGAGGCUGCUCAUUCCUCUUUUAAACACAUCAGCCUAGAGAAUUGGUUUUCAACAUAUUUCCUUCCAUAAUUUGUAAAACAGAAAAGGGUGUAAUUUUUGCUCCUAGCAUUCAAAUGCUCUGGAUAAUGGGCUCAAAUAUAUUCCUAAAUUCUGGGACAGCAGGCACCGUUUUUCAUUUUUGGUACCUUCAGAUCCUAGCAUAGUUCUUUGCAAAUAAAGGGCAUUUAAUAAUU